UACGAAGGGUGCAAACGUUAUUCGGAAUCAUUGGGCGUAAAGGGUGUGUAGGCGGCAUGAUAAGUCAAUUGUUAAAGACCCCGGCCUAACUGGGGAAAAGCAGUAGAUACUAUCUGUGCUAGAGGAUGGAAGAGAGAAGUGGAAUUCUUGGAGUAGCGGUAAAAUGCGUAGAUCUCAAGAGGCACACCGAUGGCGAAGGCAGCUUCUUGGUCCAUACCUGACGCUAAUGCACGAAAGCGUGGGGAGCAAA
rnacentral:rRNA from 1 species